CGGGGGGCAGCAGUUUCGAAUCAUUCACAAUGGGCGAAAGCCUGAUGGUGCGACGCCGCGUGAGGGAUGAAGGUCUUCGGAUUGUAAACCUCUGUCACCGGGGAAGAAACGCUUCAAGUUAAUAGCUUGAAGCCUGACUUAACCCGGAGAGGAAGCAGUGGCUAACUCUGUGCCAGCAGCCGCGGUAAUACAGAGACUGCAAGCGUUAUUCGGAUUCACUGGGCGUAAAGGGUGCGCAGGCGGCCAAGUGUGUGAGGCGUGAAAGCCCGAGGCUCAACCUCGGAAUUGCACCUCAAACUACAUGGCUAGAGCAUUGGAGAGGGUAGCAGAAUUCAUGGUGUAGCAGUGAAAUGCGUAGAUAUCAUGAGGAAUACCAGAGGCGAAGGCGGCUACCUGGACAAUUGCUGACGCUCAGGCACGAAAGCGUGGGGAGCAAAAGGGAUUAGAUACCCGAGU
rnacentral:rRNA from 1 species